GGGGGGGUUUCAAUUUCAUAAUAAGCAGUGGGUUUGGAAGGGAAAGUACAAAGGUAUCAAGACUUCUUUAGGGGUUAACAUCAGGCUUCCUAAUCUGCCAGAAUCUAUCAGCAGAUAUAUAACAUCACUACUACUGGACCUACCAACUAGGGCCACCUUUUCACAACCCUUCUGGAUUGGCUCUUCUUCCCACAACCAUUCCCUUUUCUUUUCUCUCUUUCUCUUCCUUCUCCCCCUCCCCCCACCCUUUCAAAAUCUUUUAGCCAAC
rnacentral:lncRNA from 1 species